AUGUACACAGUUUCAUUAGUAUUCAUGAUCCCCUCCGGUCUUGGGGCAGCCAUAAGCACCCGUGUUUCAAACGAGCUUGGUGCUGGGCGACCUGAAGCUGCCCGUCUGGCUACUCGUGUGAUCAUGGUUCUGAGCCUCGCGACGGGUGUGUCUGUAGGACUUCUUAUGCUCUUGGUGUGCAAUCUAUGGGGGUACGCAUACAGCAACGAGAAUGAGGUGGUGGAAUACAUUGCGAGAAUGAUGCUGCUUCUUUCCGUGUCGAUCAUUUUUUACAAUCUGCAAUGUGUUAUUUCAGGUAUUGUCAGGGGCUGUGGCUUGCAAAGGAUUGGAGCUUGUGUCAAUCUCAGUGCGUACUACCUUGUCGGCAUUCCAGCGGCGCUAUGCUUUGCCUUUGUCUUCCAUCUCGGCGGAAUGGGGCUGUGGUUGGGAAUAAUGUGCGGGGUAGUUGUGCAGAUGCUGUUGCUGCUGGCCAUUACCAUGCGCACCAACUGGGACAAAGAGGCUCUCAAAGCAAAGGACAGAGUUUUGAGUUCGUCCCUGCCUUAG
rnacentral:rRNA from 1 species